UGGGGAAUUUUGGACAAUGGGCGCAAGCCUGAUCCAGCCAUGCCGCGUGAGUGAAGAAGGCCUUCGGGUUGUAAAGCUCUUUCGGCAGGAACGAAAUGGUACGUGCUAAUACCACGGACUGAUGACGGUACCUGAAGAAGAAGCACCGGCUAACUACGUGCCAGCAGCCGCGGUAAUACGUAGGGUGCAGGCGUUAAUCGGAAUUACUGGGCGUAAAGCGUGCGCAGGCGGUUUCUUAAGUCAGAUGUGAAAGCCCCGGGCUUAACCUGGGAACUGCGUUUGAAACUGGGAGACUUGAGUGUGGCAGAGGGGGGUGGAAUUCCACGUGUAGCAGUGAAAUGCGUAGAUAUGUGGAGGAACACCGAUGGCGAAGGCAGCCCCCUGGGCUAACACUGACGCUCAUGCACGAAAGCGUGGGGAGCAAACAGGAUUAGAUACCCUGGUAGUCCACGCCCUAAACUAUGUCAACUGGUUGUCGGGAGAUUAACUCUCUUGGUAACGAAGCUAACGCGUGAAGUUGACCGCCUGGGGAGUACGGCCGCAAGGUUA
rnacentral:rRNA from 1 species